AGGGAAUAUUGGCCAAUGGGCGCAAGCCUGAACCAGCCACGCCGCGUGAGUGAUGAAGGCCUUCGGGUUGUAAAGCUCUGUGGGGAGGGACGAGAACGGUCCGGAAGAAACGACGGAUCCUUGACGGUACCUCCUUAGCAAGCACCGGCUAACUCUGUGCCAGCAGCCGCGGUAAUACAGAGGGUGCGAACGUUGCUCGGAAUUACUGGGCGUAAAGCGCACGUAGGUGGCGAUUCAAGUUAGAUGUGAAAGGCCCGGGCUCAACCCGGGAACUGCAUUUGAUACUGAAUUGCUAGAGUCCAAGAGAGGGUAGUGGAAUUCCCAGUGUAGAGGUGAAAUUCGUAGAUAUUGGGAAGAACACCAGUGGCGAAGGCGGCUACCUGGCUUGGUACUGACACUGAGGUGCGAAAGCGUGGGGAGCGAA
rnacentral:rRNA from 1 species